rnacentral:pre_miRNA from 1 species
GGUGAAGUUGCUGGGUUAUAUGGGACAUAUAAUUUUUCUAAUAAAAAACUUCCAAAUAAUUUCCCAAAGAGGUUGUAUCAUUUUGCAUUUCCAACAGCAAU